rnacentral:rRNA from 1 species
UACGAAGGGGGCUAGCGUUGCUCGGAAUCACUGGGCGUAAAGCGCACGUAGGCGGCUUUUUAAGUCAGGGGUGAAAUCCUGGAGCUCAACUCCAGAACUGCCUUCGAUACUGGGAGUCUCGAGUUCGGGAGAGGUGAGUGGAACUGCGAGUGUAGAGGUGAAAUUCGUAGAUAUUCGCAAGAACACCAGUGGCGAAGGCGGCUCACUGGACUGGUACUGACGCUGAUGCGCGAAAGCGUGGGGAGCAAACAGG